AAAAUCUUAGUAUAAAUUAGUAUAUUUAAUUGCAAAUUAAAAGGUAAAAAGGUUUUU
rnacentral:tRNA from 1 species